rnacentral:tmRNA from 1 species
GGGGGCGUAAUGGUUUCGACGGGGGAAUUGGUGGCAGGAGUAGCGAGCCGGGGUUCCAUCUGCCCGCAAUACGGUGGAAAACAUUUAAUUGCCAACAACGAAUACGCUUUAGCUGCUUAAUUGCAGAUAACGUCUCACCCGCGUUGGGCCCGUGGCCUGGGCUGAGGCGUCAUUUAAACGGGCUUGCUUUUAAGCCAAUUCUCGGAGGCUUAAAGGGACUCUCAUCGAGAUAGCACCUGCGGAGGUUGACUGUGGCCGCCAAGGGCGCGAAAUCUAAAUCAUAGUCUGCGCUCGGAGAGACUCCUGUGGUCGUUCUUUCGGACGGUGGGUUCGACUCCCCCCGCCUCCACCA